rnacentral:rRNA from 1 species
AACGGAUAAAAGCUACCCUGGGGAUAACAGGCUUAUCUCCCCCACGAGUCCACAUCGACGGGGAGGUUUGGCACCGCGAUGUCGGCUCAUCACAUCCUGGGGCUGUAGUAGGUCCCAAGGGUUGGGCGGUUCGCCCAUUAAAGUGGUACGCGAGCUGGGUUCAGAACGUCGUGGGACAGUUCGGUCCCUAUCCGUCGCAGGCGUAGGAAAUUUGAGAAGACCUGUCCUUAGUACGAGAGGACCGGGAUGGACGUA